rnacentral:rRNA from 1 species
AUUAGAAGCUUGCUUCUAUGACGUUAGCGGCGGACGGGUGAGUAACACGUGGGCAACCUGCCUGUAAGACUGGGAUAACUUCGGGAAACCGAAGCUAAUACCGGAUAGGAUCUUCUCCUUCAUGGGAGAUGAUUGAAAGAUGGUUUCGGCUAUCACUUACAGAUGGGCCCGCGGUGCAUUAGCUAGUUGGUGAGGUAACGGCUCACCAAGGCAACGAUGCAUAGCCGACCUGAGAGGGUGAUCGGCCACACUGGGACUGAGACACGGCCCAGACUCCUACGGGAGGCAGCAGUAGGGAAUCUUCCGCAAUGGACGAAAGUCUGACGGAGCAACGCCGCGUGAGUGAUGAAGGCUUUCGGGUCGUAAAACUCUGUUGUUAGGGAAGAACAAGUACGAGAGUAACUGCUCGUACCUUGACGGUACCUAACCAGAAAGCCACGGCUAACUACGUGCCAGCAGCCGCGGUAAUACGUAGGUGGCAAGCGUUAUCCGGAAUUAUUGGGCGUAAAGCGCGCGCAGGCGGUUUCUUAAGUCUGAUGUGAAAGCCCACGGCUCAACCGUGGAGGGUCAUUGGAAACUGGGGAACUUGAGUGCAGAAGAGAAAAGCGGAAUUCCACGUGUAGCGGUGAAAUGCGUAGAGAUGUGGAGGAACACCA